AUUGAACGCUGGCGGAAGGCCUAACACAUGCAAGUCGAACGAGUGGCGGACGGGUGAGUAAUGUCUGGGAAAAUGCCUGAUGGAGGGGGAUAACUACUGGAAACGGUCGCUAAUACCGCAUACCAUCAGCUUUGCCCAGAUCGGAUUAGCUAGUUGGUGGGGUAAAGGCUCACCAAGGCGACGAUCCCUAGCCGGUCUGAGAGGAUGACCAGCCACACUGGAACUGAGACACGGUCCAGACUCCUACGGGAUGCAGCAGUGGGGAAUAUUGCACAAUGGGCGCAAGCCUGAUGCAGCCAUGCCGCGUGUAGGAAGAAGGCCUUCGGGUUGUAAAGUACUUUCAGCGGGGAGGCGUUACCCGCAGAAGAAGCACCGGCUAACUCCGUGCCAGCAGCCGCGGUAAUAC
rnacentral:rRNA from 1 species